AGCUAUUUUACACCUGCUUUCAAGAGCUCCCAAAAUAUGUAUGGCAGACGUCCACCUGGAUCUCCAAGAGGUCCCAUCGUUCAAAAUGGACAAGGGUUUUCAGCUGUAUGUGCACUUACAUACACAACUAUGAAGGGUGUGACGCCCAGACCCAUCAACUCCAUGGUCUUCACCAAGCCAGUACCAAAGCGAAGGGUACAGACUGGAGAGUGGAUUCUACAGAGGCCUGGUCUGGCUAUUACCUGAUCCCUGCAUGUUCAGAAUAACAGAGGCAUACAGUAGAUUCAGUAUUGAGGAACAGCCACUCGUGACUACCAUGAACCUGAGAUCUAACCAGCCCCUUGUAGAGAUUGGUAUCGGGUUAUUCCAAAAGGGAAGUGUCCUGUCAUAUCAACAGCCUGCACAGUAUCUAUACAAAGGGGCCUAAUGAUUGUUAUAAUGAUAACGAUUGACACUCCUAAAAAAUUGUACAACGCUAGUUAUUGAGUCAAAGACAUGACAGACCCCAUGGUUCAAACGUGUUAUACAUUUUAUUUGUAAAAGAGACUAAAUAAUGUAUAUAUUAAUGAUGAUAUUAUAGGUAGUUUUUUCAAUGUGAGAAAAUGUAUCUAUGUGACUC